UACGGAGGGUGCAAGCGUUGUCCGGAAUCACUGGGCGUAAAGGGCGCGUAGGCGGCUCGGUAAGUAGGUGGUGAAAUCCUGCGGCUUAACCGCAGGGCUGCCUUCUAAACUGUCGAGCUCGAGCACGGUAGAGGCAGAUGGAAUUCCCGGUGUAGCGGUGGAAUGCGUAGAGAUCGGGAAGAACAUCAGUGGCGAAGGCGGUCUGCUGGGCCGUUGCUGACGCUGAGGCGCGAAAGCGUGGGGAGCAAACAGG
rnacentral:rRNA from 1 species